GUUUGCAGAGGCAACUUCCCUGGUGUGUUUCCAACUUAUGACCAUCUUGAGUCUUUACACUACCGGUUCUUGUACUUUGUAUAGUUCUCAACUUCUUUUCAUUGGUUGUCAGGCUUAGCAUACUGUCUGCUACAAAGCCAACUUUAAUUGGUAUUUUAAUUCAAAGUACUUUACAACAAUUGGCUCACACAGUGUGCAGCCAUGUACCAGCUCCGCUGUUUAUGACAACUUUUAU